CACGGCCGCGCGUCGGCCGAACAGAUCGCGGCUGUCGUCCGCGAAAUCGACGAGCACCGUCGCGUCGCGGGUUCGGCCUCGGCGGCCGAGG
rnacentral:tRNA from 1 species